AGCGAACGCUGGCGGCAGGCCUAACACAUGCAAGUCGAACGAACCUUUCGGGGUUAGUGGCGGACGGGUGAGUAACACGUGGGAACGUGCCUUUAGGUUCGGAAUAACUCAGGGAAACGUGUGCUAAUACCGAAUGUGCCCUUCGGGGGAAAGAUUAAUCGCCUUUAGAGGGGCCCGCGUCUGAUUAGCUAGUUGGUUGAGGAAAUGGCACACCAAGGCGACGUUCAGUAGAUGGUCUGAGAGGAUGAUUAGACACAUUGGGACUGGGACACGGUGCAGACUCCUACGGGAGGCAGCAGUGGGGAAUCUUGCGCAAUGGGCGAAAGCCUGACGCAGCCAUGCCGCGUGAAUGAUGAAGGUCGUAGGGUUGUAAAAUUCUUUCACCGGGGACGAUAAUGACGGUACCCGGAGAAGAAGCCCCGGCUAACUUCGUG
rnacentral:rRNA from 1 species